rnacentral:misc_RNA from 1 species
GUCAGCAACUGAGUCUUUCUUCUCAAUUACCUAACUCUAGCUCCAGCUGUGGUGAAACCACUUCAUUGGAGAUAAUUAAAGCUGCUAGCAAUGCUCUUUGGCUAGAGUACGAGAUAAUAAAUGAGGAUGAAAGUGAAUUGCAUGCUGAAAUGUCUGAUGAUAAGGCAUAUGAUAAGCCGUUGAUAUCAAAGAAGAGAACUGAUGACUCAAUGAUGUCAUUAGUGGACUGUUUCAAGGGGGAUAGUGACAGAAAAUGCUGGGCUUCUUUCCAAGAGCGUAUAGCCAAAGCUCCAGAACAAGUGUUGAGAUAUUGCAG